AUUGAACGCUGGCGGCAGGCCUAACACAUGCAAGUCGAGCGAGCGGCGGACGGGUGAGUAAUGUAUGGGGACUGCCCGACAGCGGGGGAUAACCACUGGAAACGGUGGCUUAUACCGCAUACUAUCGGCUCCCCCAUAUGGGAUUAGCUAGUAGGUGGGGUAAAGGCGAACCUAGGCGACGAGCCCUAGCUGGUCUGAGAGGCUGAUUUGCCACACGGGGACUGAGACACGGCCCAGACUCGUCCGGAGGCGGAGGGGGGGAGUAUGGCACAAUGGGCGGAGGCCUGAUGCAGGCAUGCCGCGUGUUGGGAGAGGGCCUGGGGGUUGUAAGGUAGUUUCAGCGGGAGGGCGUUACCCGCAGAAGAAGCACCGGCUAACUCCGUGCCAGCGGCCGGGUAAUAC
rnacentral:rRNA from 1 species